rnacentral:lncRNA from 1 species
CCACGGUCCCUGCAUUAAGUAGCUGAAUCCUGACAUAAGUUGAAACCAUAUUCAGCUUCACCCCCCCCCCCUCCCCUUCCCGGUUCAACACAGCUUCCAAACCCCUUCCUGGCCGGCCCAGUUCUACAGCUCCGCCUUACAAACAAAAUGGCUGAGGUGCCCAGUUUUUUGGAUCCUUCCACCCGGCCUCCAGGAAGUGGUAAAAAUUCAAAAUAAAUAUAGCACUAAAGUACAACCUUGAGUCUGAACUCCGGACCACCCUUUGGUGCUGGUGCUAGCGGGGUGCCUAGGAAAUGCGCUGCUUUUUUGCUAAAUUUCUAAUGAGCUGAAGAUGAAAGAAGAAAACACUAAAGGAUGAAAAUAGGACGGAGAAUUGUCUACAUUCUUCAAGACCACUCCCACUCCCACUCCCACAGAGGUUAAACUGAAUUGCACUCCUACAAAACGAUUGUAUUUUAAGUGGCUGGCACAGUUUGUGAGAAGGAGAAAUAAAUCACAAAUGCAGAGACUAUAAAAAGACAAUAGCAAACUUUCAAAAUAAAGGAGGUGACAUUAGCG